rnacentral:rRNA from 1 species
GAUGAACGCUGGCGGCGUGCCUAAUACAUGCAAGUCGAACGCUGAAGGAAGGAGCUUGCUCUUUCCGGAUGAGUUGCGAACGGGUGAGUAACGCGUAGGUAACCUGCCUGGUAGCGGGGGAUAACUAUUGGAAACGAUAGCUAAUACCGCAUAACAGUAGAUGUUGCAUGAUAUCUACUUAAAAGGUGCAAUUGCACCACUACCAGAUGGACCUGCGUUGUAUUAGCUAGUUGGUGAGGUAACGGCUCACCAAGGCGACGAUACAUAGCCGACCUGAGAGGGUGAUCGGCCACACUGGGACUGAGACACGGCCCAGACUCCUACGGGAGGCAGCAGUAGGGAAUCUUCGGCAAUGGACGGAAGUCUGACCGAGCAACGCCGCGUGAGUGAAGAAGGGUUUCGAAUCGUAAAGCUCUGUUGUAAGAGAAGAACGAGUGUGAGAGUGGAAAGUUCACACUGUGACGGUAGCUUACCAGAAAGGGACGGCUAACUACGUG